rnacentral:rRNA from 1 species
GAUGAACGCUGGCGGCGUGCCUAAUACAUGCAAGUCGAGCGAACAGAUAAGGAGCUUGCUCCUUUGAAGUUAGCGGCGGACGGGUGAGUAACACGUGGGUAACCUACCUAUAAGACUGGGAUAACUUCGGGAAACCGGAGCUAAUACCGGAUAACAUUUAGAACCGCAUGGUUCUAAAGUGAAAGAUGGUUUUGCUAUCACUUAUAGAUGGAUCCGCGCCGUAUUAGCUAGUUGGUAAGGUAACGGCUUACCAAGGCGACGAUACGUAGCCGACCUGAGAGGGUGAUCGGCCACACUGGAACUGAGACACGGUCCAGACUCCUACGGGAGGCAGCAGUAGGGAAUCUUCCGCAAUGGGCGAAAGCCUGACGGAGCAACGCCGCGUGAGUGAUGAAGGGUUUCGGCUCGUAAAACUCUGUUAUUAGGGAAGAACAAAUGUGUAAGUAACUGUGCACAUCUUGACGGUACCUAAUCAAAAAGCCACGGCUAACUACGUG